rnacentral:rRNA from 1 species
AGUGAACGCUGGCGGUAGGCCUAACACAUGCAAGUCGAACGGCAGCACAGUAAGAGCUUGCUCUUACGGGUGUCGAGUGGCGGACGAGUGAGGAAUACAUCGGAAUCUACUUUUUCGUUGGGGAUAACGUCGGGAAACUUACGCUAAUACCGCAUACGACCUACGGGUGAAAGCAGGGGAUCUUCGGACCUUGCGCGAUUGAAUGAGCCGAUGUCGGAUUAGCUAGUUGGCGGGGUAAAGGCCCACCAAGGCGACGAUCCGUAGCUGGUCUGAGAGGAUGAUCAGCCACACUGGAACUGAGAAACGGUACAGACUCCGACGGGAGGAAGCAGUGGAGAAUAUUAGACAAUGGGCGCAAGCCUGAUCCAGCCAAACCGCGUGAGUGAAGAAGGACUUAGGGUUGUAAAGCCAUUUUGUUGGGAAAGAAAAGAAGCAGGUUAAGACCCGGAGGUUAUGACGGUACCAAAAGAAUAAGCACCGGCUAACUUCGUG